rnacentral:rRNA from 1 species
GAUGAACGCUGGCGGCGUGCCUAAUACAUGCAAGUCGAGCGGUAAGGCCCUUCGGGGUACACGAGCGGCGGACGGGUGAGUAACGCGUAAGAACAUACCCCAAACUGAGGGAUAACUGCUCGAAAGAGUAGCUAAUACCGCAUGUGCUCUUCGGAGUAAAGCUUAGGUGGUUUGGGAAUGGCUUGCGUCCGAUUAGCUAGUUGGUAAGGUAAUGGCUUACCAAGGCGACGAUCGGUAGCUGUUCUGAGAGGAUGAUCAGCCACACUGGAACUGAGACACGGUCCAGACUCCUACGGGAGGCAGCAGUAGGGAAUUUUCCACAAUGGGGGCAACCCUGAUGGAGCAACGCCGCGUGCAGGAUGAAGGCCUUCGGGUUGUAAACUGCUUUUGUCUGUGACGAAUAUGACGGUAGCAGACGAAUAAGGAUCGGCUAACUACGUGCCAGCAGCCGCCGUAA